UACAGAGGGUGCGAGCGUUGUCCGGAAUCACUGGGCGUAAAGGGCGCGUAGGCGGCUUCGCAAGUCAGGGGUGAAAGCCCGGGGCUCAACCCCGGAACUGCCUUUGAGACUGCGUCGCUUGAAUCCGGGAGAGGCGGGUGGAAUUCCGAGUGUAGAGGUGAAAUUCGUAGAUAUUCGGAAGAACACCAGUGGCGAAGGCGGCCCGCUGGACCGGUAUUGACGCUGAGGUGCGAAAGCGUGGGGAGCAAACAGG
rnacentral:rRNA from 1 species